AUGGACCGCGCCGAUCCCGCGCGGGGCCGCCUCGCCGUGCUCUCCUCCCACCUCCUCGCCGCCGGCGCGGACCCCGCGGCCGCGCUGGGGAGGUCGCCGGCGUCGGCCGCGGCCCCGGGGGCCCGCGCCGGCGUGCUCGCCGUGGUGGACUCGAGGACCGGGAAGCGGUACGAGGUCAAGGUUUCGGAGGACGGCACCGUCCGCGCCACAGACUUCAAGAAGAUUACCACUGGGAAAGAUGACAAGGGUCUUAAGACUUACGAUCCUGGUUAUCUCAACACUGCCCCUGUGCGUUCUUCCAUCUGCUACAUUGAUGGGGAUGAGGGAAUUCUUCGCUACAGGGGUUAUCCAAUUGAGGAGGUGGCCGAAAGCAGUUCGUUUGUUGAGGUCGCCUACCUCUUAAUGUACGGGAACUUGCCCACUCAGAGUCAACUGGCAGGCUGGGAAUUUGCAAUUUCACAGCACUCUGCUGUUCCUCAAGGACUCUUGGAUAUCAUACAAUCAAUGCCUCACGAUGCCCACCCCAUGGGUGUCCUUGCCAGUGCAAUGAGCACACUUUCUGUCUUCCACCCAGAUGCAAACCCUGCCCUUAGAGGGCAAGAUCUGUACAACUCAAAGCAGGUUAGGGAUAAGCAAAUUGUGCGAGUUCUUGGGAAGGCACCAGCAAUAGCAGCUGCAGCCUACCUGAGACUAGCAGGAAGGCCUGCUGUCCUUCCUUCAAAUAAUCUUUCUUAUUCAGAGAAUUUCUUGUAUAUGCUAGACUCUUUGGGUAACAAAGAAUAUAAGCCAAAUCCCCGACUUGCACGGGUUCUAGAUAUCCUUUUUAUUCUCCAUGCUGAACACGAAAUGAACUGCUCAACAGCUGCUGUUAGGCACCUUGCUUCAAGUGGUGUCGAUGUCUUCACUGCUCUUUCUGGCGCUGUUGGAGCUCUAUAUGGUCCACUGCAUGGUGGCGCAAAUGAGGCGGUACUUAAAAUGUUGAAUGAGAUUGGAGCUGUGGAGAAUAUUCCAGAUUUCAUUGAGGGAGUGAAGAACAGGAAACGGAAAAUGUCAGGUUUUGGGCACCGUGUGUAUAAGAAUUAUGAUCCUCGUGCUAAAGUCAUCCGAAAGUUAGCAGAGGAGGUUUUCUCUAUUGUUGGACGGGAUCCUCUUAUCGAGGUUGCUGUUGCUUUGGAGAAGGCAGCACUGUCAGACGAUUAUUUUAUCAAGAGGAAGCUGUAUCCAAAUGUGGAUUUUUACUCAGGCCUGAUUUACAGAGCGAUGGGAUUCCCUACAGAAUUUUUCCCUGUGUUAUUUGCAAUUCCUCGCAUGGCUGGUUGGCUAGCACAUUGGAAGGAGUCACUUGAUGACCCUGACAAUAAAAUUAUGAGGCCUCAACAGGUAUACACGGGCGUUUGGCUGAGGCACUACACCCCUGUGAGGGAACGAGUGGCAUCUAACCAGGGCGAGGAGCUCGGUCAGAUCGCUGCAUCAAACGCAACGAGGCGUCGCCGUGCUGGUUCUUCCCUGUAG
rnacentral:rRNA from 1 species